rnacentral:rRNA from 1 species
CUCGAACUAUCAUGAGAGGUACAGCCUGCCCAGUGACCCAAUGUUCAACGGCCGCGGUAUCCUAACCGUGCGAAGGUAGCGUAAUCACUUGUUCUUUAAAUGAGGACUAGUAUGAAUGGCAUCACGAAGGUUAUACUGUCUCCUUUUUCCAAUCAGUGAAACUAAUCUCCUCGUGAAGAAGCGAGGAUUAUUUUAUAAGACGAGAAGACCCUAUGGAGCUUUAAACUAACCAGCAUUUGCUAUAUUGUAUAAUUUUUCAGAAAUAUAAAAAACAGCUUAGCUCUUUGACUAUAAGUUUUCGAUUGGGGUGAUCACGGAACAAAAAAUAACUUCCGUGCCGAAAGGACUAUUCCUGAGCCAAAAGUGACAACCUUAAGCACUAAAAAAUUAACGCUUAUUGACCCAAUAAUUUGAUCAACGAAC